UACGUAGGGUGCAAGCGUUAAUCGGAAUUACUGGGCGUAAAGCGUGCGCAGGCGGUUGUGCAAGACAGAUGUGAAAUCCCCGGGCUUAACCUGGGAACUGCAUUUGUGACUGCACGGCUAGAGUGUGUCAGAGGGGGGUAGAAUUCCACGUGUAGCAGUGAAAUGCGUAGAUAUGCGGAGGAACACCGAUGGCGAAAGCGGCCACCUGGACUGCACCUGACGCUGAGAAGCGAAAGCAUGGGGAGCGAACAGG
rnacentral:rRNA from 1 species